GAAUGAUGUUCGAACAGUGGUUGUUUAUGGCGGUUUUGAAAGUUAUUUUUCUGUUAAAAUUUACCAGUUUGGAAUCUAAUUUAUCCUUUAAUAUUUGAAGCAAAACUGAAGUCAAAAACCAAGAUAGGGAAAGCCGUUUAGAUUCUGUGUUGAUGGCUUGAUAAAGGCAAAGGCGAUAAGAAGAGAAAAUUGUUCAAGAAAUAUGGUUGCUUUGGAAUUGUAAUAAUUUUGUUAACGAUAUACCGACAAUCGUGUUUAUUAACAAACAGGGAUUCAAAUGACUCUUUAAAGAAUCCUGGAUUACACUCAACAACACUGGACUACUUUCUAAUAAGAGAUGGCUGAGGGAUGCCGUAGAGAGGGUUACUUGUUGAAUUGAAUAUAGUUGGCACACCUGUUGGUUUUAAUCUGCUGGUUCCAUUUCCAGAUGGGGGAAUGAUGUAAUCUGAUUGUGAAAAGUGGUUGCUGCAGAUGCAUGUAUAAUGUGUUGCUUUCCACUUUG